rnacentral:rRNA from 1 species
CGUAGGUGGCAAGCGUUGUCCGGAUUUAUUGGGUUUAAAGGGUGCGUAGGCGGUUCCAUAAGUCAGUGGUGAAAUACGGCAGCUCAACUGUCGAGGUGCCAUUGAUACUGCGGAACUUGAGUACUGAUGAGGUAGGCGGAAUUGACGGUGUAGCGGUGAAAUGCUUAGAUAUCGUCAAGAACACCGAUAGCGAAGGCAGCUUACCAAGCAGUAACUGACGCUGAGGCACGAAAGUGCGGGGAUCAAACAGGAUUAGAUACCCCUGGUAGUCCGCACAGUAAACGAUGAUUACUCGAUGUUGGCGAUACACAGCCAGCGUCUUAGCGAAAGCGAAUAAGUAAUCCACCUGGGGAGUACGCCCGCAAGGGGUG